rnacentral:misc_RNA from 1 species
CAACAAGGCCAUGGGCCCCCCGGCGCCCCGGCGCUGGAGGGUACCGGCCUGACUUACACACCCACCCUUUGCCUAUGUGUACCUCUAUCGCUUCCUCGGCAGGCCCGCCUGCCGCCAGGAACCACGUAAACCCUUUGCAUCAUACAUCAACUCUGAUACCAACCAAAAACUAUUA